AGUUCCUUUGGUGACUCCUUUGACGUCUCUUCUUGUUCAUCUUCAGUACUGUGAGAAAGAAAUAAGUCCUCCCUCACCUCUCAUUGUGAAGAGGAAUUAUGUGACUCCGCCUCCUUAUAUCACUAUCCCUAUUCAACCCAAUCUUCCAACAAAGAUAUUUUGGUUCUUGGGAGCUUUAUCAGAAGAGCUAAAGAAGGCUUAAAAGCUGGCCCAGUCUGCAAAACUACUCUACAAGAGACCAGGCUUCAUCAUGUUGACCAGGCUGGUCCCAAAUUCCUGGGCUCAGGUGAUCCACUCGCCUCACCUCCCAAAGUGCUGGAAUUACAGGCUGAGCCACCUCGCCCGACCGAUACUUGAUUGAGUUCACCUAUCCUGAUUCCCUCAAGUGAACUUACUGGUGAAGCUUCCAGGCCUGGGCUGUCUGCCAUGCUGGUCACUGUCACAGUCAUUGUUGCCUGUCUUGUCAAACUUGCCAUUUCCUCUGGGCUCAUCAUUUUCCCUAUGAUACUCAAUAACUCGCUGCCAAUCCGUGUUUUCUGGGCUCUUAAUGGGGGGCUGCAGCAGGGCGUCGGGCUCAUUUUCAGCCUCGCUCUCUAAAGUCAGACUACUCUGAGGAUGCCAAGGAGGUACUGUGAGCUGUCCAGUAGCUGCUUUCUUUGCCAUUUCUUUCACCUCCACUGUGCACAAGAGAAAGCAGCAUUUAAAACAUCACUGUAAACAUUGGAAACACAGGCUUUCAUCUAAAAGAAAUACAUAAUACUAUUAUAACUCA